AUAAAUCACAGAAAACGGAAACGUGUUAGUUGAUUCAUAAUAUUAUUUGUGCAAAACAAAUAUUACAAGAUAUAGAUGCUCGUGGGAAUUGGUCAAUUGGAUAAUGGAAAGGCGUAAUUAAGGGUGUAAAUCACGUGGAUUAAGUCUUUUUCAUAUUAGAAGUGGUCGUGUUUCCACUUAUAUACGGAAACUGAACAACGCCAAUAUAUAUGAACGGAAACUUAGGUUUCGAAUUCUAACAUGAUUCUAAUAUAAUAAUAUUUUGUACAUGGAAAUGUUUUCACUUAUCUAAAUGUGUGGCAAACAUAUUUACCAGAGUAAUACCAAGUGGAACUUUGUUCUUCAACGCACAUAACUAACUUCAUAAACAAUCCUGCCAGGAUUAUCCUGGAUCAUAAAUUAAGGGGUAAGACUAAAUGUUUUUUUUUGCUUGCGAGGUAUUGGUGCAUGAUAUUUCCUAACAUAAUGUUCUAUUUAGUAUGUGUGUUCUUGAUAUUAGCUUGGCAAAUGCAAAUGCCGUUGGUCGCACGUCUAAACUUUGGAAUAUUAACUUUUUAUAUAAAAACGAACAUAAUAUUAACUUUGUAGUGAAUAUGUCAGGCUGGAAUAUGUUCAACAACUUUGAAAAAAGAAAAUGAAGAAGAAAAUUUUCAACGAGUUUAGCCACACACAUAUUUACUGAGCAAAUGUAAAUCUAAUCUCCGAAGAAAAAGUUGUACAUAUUUACGAAUUAACAGUACAAAAGAUUAAUUAAAUUUGCUUGGCAAAAGAGAGAAAAUAAUGAAAUUUGUAGGUUUCACUAACCCACAUUAUACAAAUAUUUUUGGAUAGGUCGAAGCUGACCCUACAUCUCUCUCGCUUAUCUUUGAAUUUAAAUACAAAAAAUUAGAUGGAGCGACAAUUCCGCCGAUGGUAGCACGUGGUUUCUAGUACAUCCGUUAGAUGAUAAGACAGACAUACAUAUGGGGACCCAGUUAUAUUAUUUCCAUUAUUGGACUCACGACGAUACGUGGCGAAUUCUAUGAAUUAAAGAGAGAGAGGUCAUAUCGGACGAGAAUCGAAUUUUGACAUGUAGGGAACAAUGUAUUUCACUCCUUAUAUACAAACGAAAAUUAACAAGCUUACAAGUGCGGAUAAAUAAUCAAAACCUCACUAGGAGGAUGGGUGAUCAACAUGAUCGUACUUUGGUUAUGCAAUGAGAAUGAAACUGUGCAUUUUAGCUUUCUGACUAGCUAGCAACUUGCAUGGAAGAAACAGCUAUGAUGAUACACAGACCGAGCAAGAUGAGACUACUUGUAGAAAGAUUAGAGACAAAAGUUGUAAUAGAUGGAUCCAUUGGACUCCGGUAUCGUUCCUGCCGUGAAAUGCCAUUCAAAGACAAAGGAAUGCCUGAGCAAAACGUGCCAAAGCUGCUCAACGAUUCUUGGGUGGGAGAGAGAGAGAGAGAGAGAGAGAGAGAGAGAGGAUAGACUGAAGAAUUUAUUAAUGCCAUUCGACAGGAUCAUAUAAAAAAAACAUCCUGUUUUUAGUUGCAGAGUUGCGAUUUUGUGAUCAAUCAGUUGAGACUUUGCUAAAAUAAAAUAUGACAUCAUUCA